rnacentral:rRNA from 1 species
CCUACGGGCGGCAGCAGUGGGGAAUAUUGCACAAUGGGGGAAACCCUGAUGCAGCGACGCCGCGUGAGUGAAGAAGUAAUUCGUUAUGUAAAGCUCUAUCAGCAGGGAAGAAAAUGACGGUACCUGAGUAAGAAGCCCCGGCUAACUACGUGCCAGCAGCCGCGGUAAUACGUAGGGGGCAAGCGGGAUCAGGAUGUAAUGGGUGUAAGGGGAGCGUAGACGGGAGUGCAAGUCUGAAGUGAAAGGCGGGGGCUCAACCCCCGGACUGCAUGGGAAACGAUAGGGGUGGAGGGAAGGAGUGGGAAUGGGGAGGACUUGGGGAGAGGUGAAAGGCGGAGAGAGAAGGAAGAAAACGAGUGGAGAAGGAGGAUGAAGGGAAGGUAACGGAAGGUGAGGAGAGAAAGCGUGGGGAGAAAACAGGAGUAGAGAACAUUGUAGGG